CCUUGACCUCAAAUCGGGUGAGACUACCCGCUGAACUUAAGCAUAUCAAUAAGCGGAGGAAAAGAAACUAACAAGGAUUCCCCUAGUAACUGCGAGUG
rnacentral:rRNA from 1 species